ACUAAAUUGUGAAAAUUGUAAAUUUUGGGGUAAAAGUGCAAUUUCGAAAUUUGAACAGCAUAAAUUGUGAAGUGAAAUAGAAUUGAAAUGGAUGCUAAUGAAGGAAUGAUUUUAUAAUUAUAGAUCAAGAAAACGAACUGAAUCGUGGAAAGGAGAAAAUUCAAGAAUAGUCCCUGAAUUUCUACGACUUUUACAAAUUAGUCCAGAUUGACUUGAAGUGAAGUGGGUAGAUCGGAUCAACACAACAGGGCACACUAUUCAGAUCAAUUCCGGUAGUUUUUGUUUUAUGUUUAAAGAUUUAUAUGGCAUGUAUAGAGUUUGAAUGAAUUGAAGUAAAGAUGUUAUAAACUAGUUAACAAUAUUUGUACUAAAA